UGUAAGCGUAUACCAAAGUUGUUGCAGUUAAAACGCUCGUAGUCGGAAUUUGGCAGUUCCGGAAGUGUGCACGUCGUGUGCGCACUUUGCGGGGACUGCUUUUGUGGUCUUGCGUAGGAUGAGGCACUUUCAUUAGUGAACGUCCUCACGCAACCACUCUUUACUGUGAGAAAAUCAGAGUGCUCAAAGCAGGCAUUUGCCGUGAAUGUAUUAGCAUGGAAUAAUAGAAUAGGACUCGGUUCUAUUCUGUUGGUUUGUUGGGACUGAGUAAUGAUUAAGAGGGACAGUUGGGGGCAUUUGUAUUCCGGCGCUAGAGGUGAAAUUCUUAGAUUGCCGGAAGACAAACUGCUGCGAAAGCGUCUGCCAAGGAUGUUUUCAUUGA
rnacentral:rRNA from 1 species